AGUCGUUCUGCCCAUUGUUUUUAAAAGGCUGCGGUAUAUUAACUGUACAAAGGUAGCAAAAUAAAUAGUUUUUUAAUUGAAAACUUGAAUGAAAGAGUUGAUAAAAUAUAAAUUGUUUCUAAAAUUUAAUUUAAAUUAAAAGUUAAAAUGCUUUUAUAUAUUUAUUAGACGAUAAGACCCUAAGAAUUUGAUUAUUUAAAUUAUUUUGAAAAAUUUAUUAAAAAUGAAUUAUUUAAUUGGGAGGGUUAUAAAAUAAAACUUUUAUUUAUUAAAAUAUUAAUAAAUAAAUUUAAUGAUUAUUUUUAAGAUUAUAAGAAUAAAUUACCUUAGGGAUAACAGCGUUAUAAUUUUGGAGAGUUCAUAUUGAUAAAAUUGUUUGCGACCUCGAUGUUGAAUUAAAAUAAAAUUUAAAUGAAGAAAUUUAAAUUUUUAGUCUGUUCGACUAUUAAAAUUUUAC
rnacentral:rRNA from 1 species